CUGGCUGAUAGCUCCAGAAGAUAGGGAGGCCCUAUACACAGAAACUGGUUUUGUUUUGGUUUGGUUUUUUGUUUUUUUUGGUCUGAACGAACAGGGUCUUCACACCAUAAGAUGAAGUUGUUAUGGUAUGCAGUGACCUUUAUUUGUUUUAAUCGUUGCUGCUUUCCAUAGAAGAUGUAAAAUUCUAAAAUUCAACAUUUGUUCAGUUAAGUUAAUUUAUAGGUAAUAUAAAGAGCAAA